rnacentral:misc_RNA from 1 species
UGGAGUAGGAAGGGAACUA